rnacentral:rRNA from 1 species
UUCCAGCAGCCGCGGUAAUUCCAGCUCCAAUAGCGUAUAUUAAAGUUGUUGCAGUUAAAAAGCUCGUAGUUGAACUUUGGGCCUGGUUGGCCGGUCCGAUUUUUUCGUGUACUGGAUUCCAACCGGGCCUUUCCUUCUGGCUAACCUUGGGUCCUUGUGGCCCUUGGCGAACCAGGACUUUUACUUUGAAAAAAUUAGAGUGUUCAAAGCAGGCGUAUUGCUCGAAUAUAUUAGCAUGGAAUAAUAGAAUAGGACGUUUGGUUCUAUUUUGUUGGUUUCUAGGACCAUCGUAAUGAUUAAUAGGGACGGUCGGGGGCAUCAGUAUUCAAUUGUCAGAGGUGAAAUUCUUGGAUUUAUUGAAGACUAACUACUGCGAAAGCAUUGCCAAGGACGUUUCAUAAUCAAGAAUCGAAAUGG